rnacentral:misc_RNA from 1 species
GUCCUGAGGCCUUAGAUCGACUUAUCAAGAGCAAAGAAAGUGAAAUUUGGUGUUUGGUAGGGAGAAAAGGCCAAGGCAACAAGGAGGAACAUGAUGAAAACUGGAAGACAAAGAAAUAUCAACGGCGGCGGCGGGAGCGGCGGCAAUACCAGCGGCAGCACUAGCAACAAGAACGCCAAAAGAAGCAUAAAAGUGAAGGAUCCGAAUCUGAAAUACUUAACAAUAGAUUCUGAAAAUGACAUUUGAGAGGAACAAGGAA